AGAAUCAACGCUGGCGGCGUGCCUAACACAUGCAAGUCGAACGAGAAAGUGGAGCAAUCCAUGAGUAAAGUGGCGCACGGGUGAGUAACACGUGACUAACCUACCCUUGAGUGGGGAAUAACCUAGGGAAACCUGGGCUAAUACCGCAUAACACCUACGGGUCAAAGGAGCAAUUCGCUUAAGGAGGGGGUCGCGGCAGAUUAGCUAGUUGGCGGGGUAAUGGCCCACCAAGGCAGUGACCUGUAUCCGGCCUGAGAGGGCGCACGGACACACUGGAACUGAAACACGGUCCAGACUCCUACGGGAGGCAGCAGUGGGGAAUUUUGCGCAAUGGGGGAAACCCUGACGCAGCAACGCCGCGUGAGGGAAGAAGGCCUUCGGGUUGUAAACCUCUUUCAGGAGGACGAAGCCACUCGGGUUAAUAGCCUAGAGGGUGACGGUACCGUCCAGAAGAAGCCCGGCUAACUACGCGCCAGCAGCCGC
rnacentral:rRNA from 1 species